AUGCCGGCGCAGGACGCGUGCGCGCUCUGCACCAAGCCGCUGGCGCGCGACAGCGACAUCUUCAUGUACAAGGGCGACACGCCCUUCUGCAGCGAGGAGUGCCGCGACGAGCAGAUGCAGCUCGACGCCAUCGCCGCCAGGCAGGCCGCCCGGAGGCAGCAGCGGUUCUCGUCGGGAACGGAGGCCCGCAGCGGGCACCAGGAGUCCAGGAAGGUGUCCGUCGCGAGCUAG
rnacentral:rRNA from 1 species